UGGGUGAUGUUGGCCAGGACGCCGGCCUCGGCGCUGAGGUCGCCGAAGGCGCCCCAGCUGCCGUUCGCCUUGCGGAUGGUGUGCCGCAGGCGUCCGUC
rnacentral:tRNA from 1 species